GGAAUAUUGCACAAUGGGGGAAACCCUGAUGCAGCGACGCCGCGUGAGUGAAGAAGUAUUUCGGUAUGUAAAGCUCUAUCAGCAGGAACGAGACAAGACGGUACCUGACUAAGAAGCCCCGGCUAACUACGUGCCAGCAGCCGCGGUAAUACGUAGGGGUCAAGCGUUAUCCGGAAUUACUGGGUGUAAAGGGAGCGUAGACGGUUAAGUAAGUCUGGAGUGAAAGGCUGGGGCCCAACCCCGGGACUGCUCUGGAAACUAUUUAACUUGAGUGCAGGAGAGGUAAGCGGAAUCCCUAGUGUAGCGGUGAAAUGCGUAGAUAUUAGGAGGAACACCAGUGGCGAAGGCGGCUUACUGGACUGUAACUGACGUUGAGGCUCGAAAGCGUGGGGAGCAAAC
rnacentral:rRNA from 1 species